UGGAAAUGCACUCUUCCCCAAACCUAUAUAGGGGGCUAGCUUGCUUCCACUGGUGGCGGGCGGGCGGGCGAAGGGUCCAAAGGACACGUAGCCAGGGGCGAGUCAAAAAGAAAAGAGUUCCGUUUUCCUUCUUGUUCAUCAAUCGAAAAUCAAGACAAACCAGGCACUACGGUAAGACGUGAAAACACCCAAUCCCAUUCUGACCUCGAUAUGUGGAAU
rnacentral:lncRNA from 1 species